rnacentral:rRNA from 1 species
AACGAACGCUGGCGGCAGGCUUAACACAUGCAAGUCGAGCGCCCCGCAAGGGGAGCGGCAGACGGGUGAGUAACGCGUGGAACGUGCCCUUUGGUUCGGAACAACUCCGGGAAACUGGAGCUAAUACCGGAUAAGCCCUUCGGGGAAAGAUUUAUCGCCAAAGGAUCGGCCCGCGUCUGAUUAGCUAGUUGGUGAGGUAAUGGCUCACCAAGGCGACGAUCAGUAGCUGGUCUGAGAGGAUGAUCAGCCACACUGGGACUGAGACACGGCCCAGACUCCUACGGGAGGCAGCAGUGGGGAAUAUUGGACAAUGGGCGCAAGCCUGAUCCAGCCAUGCCGCGUGAGUGAUGAAGGCCUUAGGGUUGUAAAGCUCUUUUGUCCGGGAAGAUAAUGACUGUACCGGAAGAAUAAGCCCCGGCUAACUUCGUGCCAGCAGCCGCGGUAAU